GCAGUCGUGGCCGCGUGGUUAAGGCGAUAGACUAGAAAUCCAUUGAGGUCUCCCCGCACAGGUUGGAAUCCUGUCAACUGCG
rfam:Ixodes scapularis strain Wikel colony gcontig_1108379843780, whole genome shotgun sequence.